UACGUAGGGUGCAAGCGUUGUCCGGAAUUAUUGGGCGUAAAGAGCUCGUAGGCGGUUCCGUAAGUCGUGAAGUCAAAUCUCUGGGCUCAACCCAGAAUCGCUUCCGAUACUGCGGUGACUGGAGUCCGGUAGGGGAGUGUGGAAUUCCUGGUGUAGCGGUGAAAUGCGCAGAUAUCAGGAGGAACACCAACAGCGAAGGCAGCACUCUGGGCCGGUACUGACGCUGAGGAGCGAAAGCAUGGGGAGCGAACAGG
rnacentral:rRNA from 1 species